GCCUAACCUUCUGGGAAUGUAGCCCAGUAGAUCUCAGCCUUGUUUUACCCAGCCCCUAUUCAAGAUGGAGUCACUCUGGUUCAAACACCUCUGACAAAAAUCCUUCUAAAAAUUUUUAAUAUACAAAUUGAGAUCUUCUAAUAUUUUUCUAUUACUGUGGUAUAUCACUUCUUUCCCUUUGUGCACCCUACUUAAAAUUUCAACUCACUCAGAAGAUACAGGAGCUGACUGUCGCUGUGGCUGUGCUGUAUCGGAACACUGCCUACCUUAAGGAAAGAACUUUGGAGGUCUCAGGCUUUGAAUUUUAUUUCCUGUAGUUUUUUCUCUCUGAAAUCUUAUAUAGGCUUUUCCUGAGUAAGGGUCAUUUUCACUUAGCUUUUUGAUGGUAUAAUGGACUGAAUGUUUGUGUCCCCCUUCCAAGUUCAAAUGUUGAAGGCCAAACCCUCCUUGUGGCUGUACUUGGAGAUGGGGGCCUCUUAGGAAGCAAUUAAGGUUGGAUGAGGUCCUUAGGGUGGGGCCCUGAUAGGAUUAGCGUCUGUAUAAAAAGAGACACCUGAGAGCUUCGCCCUGCUAGGAUUAGCGUCUGUAUAAAGAGAGACACCUGAGAGCUUCGCCCUGCUAGGAUUAGCGUCUGUAUAAAGAGAGACACCUGAGAGCUUCGCCCUGCUAGGAUUAGCGUCUGUAUAAAGAGAGACACCUGAGAGCUUCGCCCUGCUAGGAUUAGCGUCUGUAUAAAGAGAGACACCUGAGAGCUUCGCCUACACGCUUCCCCACUGAGGGAAGACCAUGUGACUAUACAACAGGAAGGUAGUUGUUUACAAGCCAGGAAGAGAGCCCUCACCAGAAACCAAAUUGGCUGGCGCCUUGAUCAUGGACUCCUGGGCUCCGGAACUGUAAGAAAAUUUGUGUUGUGGAAGCCACCCAGCCCAUGGUAUUUCGUUAUGGCAGCCUGAGCAGAGGUGGUAGCUAUGUGGACAGUUUUUGGACUUCUCUAUUGUAACACAGGAGGCAACACAGAUUCUUCAAGUCUCACAGCUACUCCCUAGGGAUCACUGGGGAACUUGGAAAAAAUCUAUUGGCUCAGCUAGUGAGCGAUCACUUCCUGUACCACUGUUCUGAGGGCGGACUUCCAGCUCAGGAUCAUGCGAGGGCAUUUUGUUGCCCUUCAUCACUCAGCAGUGAAGAAUGAAAAUCAACAGAGCUUUCCCCAGCCUGCUGCUUAAGCAGCUGCUAGCAGGCUGAGGCUGCCCAGCCUCAUUAACCCAUUAGAUGCUGCGUUCGCCCGGGAGUCAUUCUUAAUGAGGCUGCUGCAGAUGAGAAAACAGAAGCAAAGGCAGAAAGAUGCUACAUUGCCAGCUUUGAAGAUGGAGGGAAGAGGUCACAAACCAAGGAAGGCAAUGAGGACGUUGCACAAGACAGUCCCUGAUACCCAGAGUUUACUGCCUAAGAGAGGAUACAUCCUUCAAACCAAUAAUCUGCUAAUAGCAAGAUCCAAUAGCUUCAUGGAUAUUGAAAGAAACUGAGAAUCAAAUUUGCAUACUUCUGAGUCACUUGGAAACAAAAAACAAGUACAGUCUUAGAUUCUGAGGGAACAAAAAUUAAAAAUCACAUUAGGAAGAGAAUUCCUAAUGUAGGAACUCAUCCUGGAAGAUUCUUCAGCAAAAGUACAGACAAUAAUAAUAAUACUCCAUGAAGUUACCAUCGAUAUUGAAUGAAUUAAUGAAUGUAAAAACCUCAAAACCCUGCCUGGCCCAGAGCUUUGGAAUGGGUUUGGAUCUACCACUCAACUGCUUUAUGACUUCAGACCAGUUAUUUAAAUUCCCUGAAGCUCAGUUUCCACAUCUUUGAGUUUUUAUUAAUGACCUGCCGACAUCAUACAGUUCAUGAAAUGCUCUGGAUGUGUACAUGCUGAUGAUACGACCUCAGACCCAGCAAGAGCUCAGUGCAGCCCGGAGAGCUGUGAGCAGUGCCACAGGAGGAGAUGACUGGUGAGUGAAAUAAGCAAGAUAGGAGUUGAAGUGUACAUGAAGCAGAGUCCAAGCCUUCUCCUUCUGGAUGUUCAGCUGGAUCAUCCUGACUGCUCCCACUUUCAUCUUGGCUUUCAAAGGGCUAUAUGGAUGUGCUCUACUUGUUGGAGGAUUGUCCAUCCACUCUUCUUCCUGUACUUACCAGGACAGAACAGCCGCAACUUCUCAGACAGUUCAUUCUUCUUUUCCUCACCUACUACCAUCUAAGAAAGGUACUUGAUGACUGUGGCUUUAGACAAGAGUCCUUUUCUUACCACAGGGUGGGCAGCACCAGCUCAUUAGAACCAUUUGUGUGACUGACUGAAGACAGCUCACCUUGGAACACUGCAGGACCCUAAGAGGAUGGAGGUGGAGUUUUUCUGCUCCUACACCUGGAUAGGCAAGACCAACCACUUACCAGAUGGGGAAUCUUCCAGUGCUAAUAGUUCAGACUGUGCAUACAAGAAACUGAGAGAAGGACCAGUACUGUUUUGUGGUUGCAGGUUGUUCCAUGAUGAGAAUAGGGCCAACCAUAAUGGGAGUAGGCUGGCAGAGACUUACUUGUCUAGUCAUGGGCUUUAUGGCAAAUGUCUCUAACACUUACCACCCAAAGCUAUGCUUAUGGUGUUGCAGUCAACAUCUUACUUUAUGAACUUAUAAUCUAUACUGAUGUUUAUUGUUACUAUGUUUUCCUGUUUACCUGAGAGGGGCCACACCCAAAAGGAGUGUCCUAGAGGUGGAAACAUGUACUACAUGUUCUAUUAUAGCAUUUAUCAUAUUAUAAUAUGAAUAAUAUGCUGCCUCUCUGCACUUCAGCUUAACCCAUGACCUCUCUGAGAACAAGUAACAUGUCGCAUUGACCUUUACAUUACUCCCCAGCACCACUUCUUCACUCUGCCCUAUCCCAAGUCCUUCGACUUUGCCUUAUACAUGUGAUCCUCUCUGAAAUUUGUGUCUAAGAAAUGAUCAAUGAAUAAAUACAUGAUUGAAUCAAUACCUUACUUCCUCCAGAGAUGUUUACUUAUCUUUAAUCACAUCCAUUCUAUGUUUAUGAUUUUAAUUUGUAGGUUAUACUUGAAAACAGUAGCCUGAUAAUAAAUAUAAAUUUAUCAGUUUCUCUCUAUUGAAGUUUCAGAACCCCUUUUGCCUCUUCUCAUUUAUAAUUCCUUUAAAUUAGGUAGGAAAGCAAAAAGGAAAUCUUAGUGAGGCAAAUACUAGCUUCUGCUUCCUAUGUAAGGAGAUAAUGGUACUGACACUAUCAGCUGAGGAUAUUUUAUACUUCAAUGGUUUUGUGAAUGGGAACUAAUCCAUUACUUUCUUAACUUGCUAUCUAUUUACUUUCUUAACCUAUAGGUGCACAGGUGGAUGACUUGGCAGGAGAUGCCAUUUAUGGCCAUGGAACAGUCAAGUUGUUAAGGGGACCAAGAAUGUCAAUGAACUAAAAGUUUCUGGACCAGUUUAUUAGGCAAAAAUUAAAAAUAAAAAUAAUAUUUGAGAACCUAAAAUAAAUUUGAUCUCAACUUGCAUAAUAUCUCUAACUCACUGAGGUUCCACGAAGACAGGAAGCCCAAGAAAAAGAGGUUGAAGAAAAUUAACUCUGAAAAAC
rnacentral:lncRNA from 1 species